UCAAAGGAAUUGACGGGACCCCGCACAAGCAGCGGAGCGUGUGGUUUAAUUCGAGGCUACACGAAGAACCUUACCAGGGUUUGACAUGCAAGUGUAGGAAUCCGAAAGGUGACCGACCCUUCGGGGAGCUUGCACAGGUGCUGCAUGGCUGUCGUCAGCUCGUGUCGUGAGAUGUUCGGUUAAGUCCGCUAACGAUCGCAACCCUCGUCGUGUGUUAUACGUGUCACACGAUACUGCCGGUAUCAAGCCGGAGGAAGGUGGGGAUGAUGUCAAGUCCUCAUGGCCCUUAUGGGUAGGGCUUCACACGUCAUACAAUGGUCGGUACAGAGGGUUGCCAACCCGCGAGGGGGAGCUAAUCCCACAAAGCCGAUCGUAGUCCGGAUCGCAGUCUGCAACUCGACUGCGUGAAGUCGGAAUCGCUAGUAAUCGUGGAUCAGCAUGUCACGGUGAAUACGUCCCCGGGUCUU
rnacentral:rRNA from 1 species